CGGGAGAGUAACGCGUGAGGAACCUGCCUCAAAGAGGGGGACAACAAGUUGGAAACGACUGCUAAUACCGCAUAAGCCCACAGCUCGGCAUCGAGCAGAGGGAAAAGGAGUGAUCCGCUUUGAGAUGGCCUCGCGUCCGAUUAGCUAGUUGGUGAGGUAACGGCCCACCAAGGCGACGAUCGGUAGCCGGACUGAGAGGUUGAACGGCCACAUUGGGACUGAGACACGGCCCAG
rnacentral:rRNA from 1 species